UACAGAGGUCUCAAGCGUUGUUCGGAUUCAUUGGGCGUAAAGGGUGCGUAGGCGGCGAGGUUAGUCGGAUGUGAAAUCCCAGGGCUCAACCCUGGAACUGCAUUCGAUACUGCCUUGCUAGAGUACUGGAGAGGAGACUGGAAUUUACGGUGUAGCAGUGAAAUGCGUAGAUAUCGUAAGGAAGACCAGUGGCGAAGGCGAGUCUCUGGACAGUUACUGACGCUGAGGCACGAAGGCCAGGGGAGCAAACGGG
rnacentral:rRNA from 1 species